UACGUAUGGAGCAAGCGUUAUCCGGAUUUAUUGGGUGUAAAGGGUGCGUAGACGGAGAAGCAAGUUAGUUGUGAAAUCCCUCGGCUUAACUGAGGAACUGCAACUAAAACUACUUCCCUUGAGUACUGGAGAGGAAAGUGGAAUUCCUAGUGUAGCGGUGAAGUGCGUAGAUAUUAGGAGGAACACCAGUGGCGAAGGCGACUUUCUGGACAGUAACUGACGUUGAGGCACGAAAGUGUGGGGAGCAAACAGG
rnacentral:rRNA from 1 species